rnacentral:lncRNA from 7 species
GACCAAUGUCACCAUCCGCUGCUGGAACAAGGAUUAUGGGGCCGCCUUCCUCCUGCACAAGGAUGGGAACUCCGCCCCUCUCCAGCGCCAGAACUCCAGUGGUGGGGGCACAGCCACUUUCACACUCUUUGGGGUGACCCCAGCUGACAGUGGCACCUACAGGUGCUCCUACCGCCCCUGGCACUACGCCUCCAUGUCCUCACCCCUUGGGGACAGCGUGGUGCUGGAGGUGACACCCAGACCCCACAGGUGCUGCAGACAGUUCUCACGGGAACCUGGUGGUGGCAGUGGUUGGUGGCUGCACUGCUGCCUUUGUCUUCAUCCUCGUCCUUAUCAUCUUCUUCCUCCUCUCUGCCCGCAGACGUCGGACACAGAGAGAUGAGAGCCCUGGUGCCCCCCCCAAAAAGCCCGAGGCCAUGGAGUUCCAGGUGCCUUCCAGUGACAGUGAGGGUCUGACCUACUUGGAGCUGCAAGCUGUGACCCCCAGCACACAGCCCCCCAGCCCCCCCGCCACCCCACAGCCCUCUGUUAUCUACACCGAGGUGGCCGUUGGGGGGCGCCACUGAUGCCUCCAUACGUGUGCACAAACACGUGUGCGUUGUAUGCACACAUGUGCUUCCAGCAUGCACAGUGCAGUGGUGUUGUGUGUGCUCACCAUCACGUGUGCACUGCAUACAGGUACCACUGCAUGUGUUCAUAUGUUACCUGCGUGUGCACCAUCCCAUGUGCACAACAGUUGUACACAGAUGUGCACUCCGUGAUUAACUCCGUUCAUUUGUGUCUGUGCGAUGCCACGUGUGUACACCAGUAUAUGUGCACAGUAGUGCACGUGUGUCCUUAGCAUGCUUUCUGAGACUGGUAAGGAACGCAUGAGGUGACCAGCAACACUCUGUGGACAGCUCUUUGUUCCAAAGCAUUGCUUUGGAGUUGUUUGAUUUCAAAGAGAAGCUCUCCACAAAUGGAUGUGUAUAUCUGCUCCGAGCCCUGGCUGACUCCAUCGUGGUAUCCACCCCAGCUGACCGGGAGAGGUGCGACUCAGGAGGCAGAGAAAGAUUCACCUCCCUCCCAAACCCACUCAGAGGGACGGUGCACAUCUGCUCCCUGUGCCUGCACUAUCCGUGUCCUCACUGUGUACGUGUGUCCUCACCAUGUGCCCCACAUCAGCGCCUCGUCUGUCCCCACAGCACACACAUGUCCCUCCCGUGUGCACAUCUCCAGCUCCACGUCCCAAACCAGCACCCGACCCACCGUGGUGUUGGGGCAGGAUUCCCAUUUCUGGAGGGCUUUAUCCCACAUACCUGGAUGAGAAUUCUGGUUCAAAAGUGUUUCAUUCUGCUUUCUGAGGGAGGAUUCCUAUUUCUGGAAGUUUUACCCUUCCUCUACCUCUGAAGGUUUUCAUUCCUUCUUUUUGGGAUAAUGCAUGGAUCUGAAGGGUUUUCACCAACCUCUGGGAGGAGAUUUCCCAUUUCCAAAUGUUUUUGUCAUCAUUUCUGGUAGAAUUAUCAUUUGUGGAUGUAUUUGUCCAAACUUUUCUGAAAAAUUCCCCAAAUUCUUGAGGAAAAUGCAGCCCCAGGAGCAGGAGAUCCAGCCGGAGAAGGACAGAUGAACGGAUGGCCAAUGUACUGGUGCAAACCGUCUCCAAACCACUGAAAAAAAAUGAAAUGGUAACGC